rnacentral:rRNA from 1 species
UACGGAGGGAGCUAGCGUUGCUCGGAAUCACUGGGCGUAAAGCGCACGUAGGCGGCUUGUUAAGUCAGGGGUGAAAUCCUGGAGCUCAACUCCAGAACUGCCUUUGAUACUGGCGAGCUUGAGUCCGGGAGAGGUGAGUGGAACUGCGAGUGUAGAGGUGAAAUUCGUAGAUAUUCGCAAGAACACCAGUGGCGAAGGCGGCUCACUGGCCCGGUACUGACGCUGAGGUGCGAAAGCGUGGGGAGCAAACAGG